ACAUUGGGUAAGAGUGAAUUCCUGUCCAGCAACCACUUACUUAAUAAUUUGAACUUCAGAUGCUUCAUGUUGCCACGCUCCCUUUACACAUGUUCAAUACAUUUAAUCAUAAAAAGAGCUCAUGUAUGGAAAACACAUGCUUACUGUGACUAGGCCAGCACCAUAGCUCUGAGUCAAAUAAACUACCAUGGAUUUACCCCACAAUUCCAGGAAACUUUUUCUUUAGUAUGCACACAGAAUAUAUAAACAAAGUUAUAAAUAUCAGCUGUGUUAUUUUGCUACAUUUCAUGCUUCACUUGUUUGGGUUUCUUUCACCCAGAACUGGGUAUUUCCCUAGGUUCUAGUACUGUCAUUUAUUUUUCAGUGAUACAGUUUUUUUUCCUUCUGCAGUAUUAAUUUGUACACCAGGGCUGCAUAAGCACUAGGACAUGGGAUGAAAGCCACAACAGACUUGUAAAUUUUUUAAAGAUAUCUGCAGGAAAGGAUCACACUUAUUUAGUUUUCUGAGAAUAUGUAAAAUCUUUUAUGACUGGAAAGAAAUGCAGGGAACAGGCCUGCAUGACAUUUCUUUUCUAGCACAUGGUUGAUGUGUUAAAAUAGAUGCUAGUAUAGUGUCAAAAGGGAGUAGCACUGCCAGCACUCACCCUGAAGAGAAAGAGGAAUUUUGAUGGAUUUUGAGAAAAUAUGAUUAAAAAAAAAGCAUAUUGGCAUUCACUGCUUAUGAUGUGCUUCAUCUGCUCUCAGUAGGCUCAUUGCUGAUAAUGGCAUAUUAGCAUCAGUACCUCUUUUUGUCAGCCCUUCUGUCUGGUGCACACAUCCAACCAUGACCAUGAAUAUCUCUCUAGGUUUCUUUUUCCCCAUCUUGACAUCAGCUGCCUUGGAAAUGAUUUUCCUGUGGUGUGCAAAGGUGAUCUCUUGACACAGAGACUCUGCCCUGAGGUAUGUGCAGUGGAUUUACAAUCUAAUUAAUAGCGAGGAAAGGGUGACUGGUGCAAAUACCAACUGGGUUGAGAUCUAUGACUGCUGAGUGGGACAGAAAGCUGCCGUAGAUGAAACUAGCAGCACAUGCUGCUUCUGUGCUGCUUGGUCCCCUAGGGAUGGCCACGUGAGCAGCGUGAAUUUUUACCAGCACAGCUUGAAGAGCAUUUGGAGCUGGCAGUGCAGGACCAGAGUUUCGUCAUCUUCUCUUGUGUUUUUCUUACUCAUGCCUGAAAGUAUGAGGAAAUAUUCUUCUUCAAAAGAAUAUUUUGCAUAUCAAUAACCUGCUUCAUCCAAAAUCUCAAAGGACUCUAUAUACAGUCAUUAAGUGCAGUUCCUAUCGCACUCAUACUCAUGGAGAAGUUGGUAAGUGAACUGAGAAGAAUACACCCAGGAGAGCUGACCCUGUGCACUCUUUCUUAACCUGCAAAUUACAUUUUCCUUAAAAACAAAUAAAUGACCCUAAAAAUCCCUCAGAAGCUUUAGUUACAGAAAGAACAGCAAGAAACACAGCCUUAGUGACAUCACAAAACCCCAUACUUAGUCUGGAACUGUUAGAAAUGUUCAAGAGCAUGUCGGGAAGUAAAACUGUAACCAUGUGGCUUUGGGAAGUCAUGGCAUGCCCAGCCUAUUACUUGCUUCAGUAGCUGGGUGCAACAAGAUCAGCAUUCAUAAAAACAACAAACUGGCUGAGAUACAAGGAUACUUGAAUUCCUUUUUGCUGUUGAGGUGGCUGGAAGGGCUAUUAAGACUAGCCUUACAAUUGCACAAAGGCACAAUUGCAGGACACAGCCUAGGAGAGGAGAGUGGAGAAUCUCAAGCGAAAAAUAUCCGUGUGUAUGGCAGAUGAUCUCAUUUCAGACCGCGACUCCCUGGGAUAACAUGUGCCCACCUGUCAGUGUUUCAGCUUCUGACAAAACAUGAUACCAUGACUCUGUAUGCAGUUUCCAGAGUCUUAGGCUACAGUUCAGUCUAACCUUCAGACAAAGAGUUUGCCAUGCACAUCAAAAGACCAUUUAAGAUGAUGACCCAUCAUUGCUAAAAUUUCUGAAGAAUGCAGACUUCUUGGAACCGAUGCAGGAACUUCUGUCAGCCUACUACAAGAUCCACUUACCCCCAGCUGAGGUCAGCAAAGAGGUGAAGUAAUAAACAGGCUUAAGAAAGGUCAACUACACAGGGUCAGGCCAAGGAGCUCUUUAGCUCAGCAUCCUGUCCCUGACAGCAUAUACCUAAGGGAAGGCAUAAGAAAAGGGCAAGCAUAAAUGAAGCAAUCUUUCUCCUCUUUGAAAGGGGAUAUCUCUGGCUCACCAGUGAGACCAAUGAGUUGAAGCAAACCUGAAAUGAAAAACUGCUUCAUCUGAUAUUUUCUCUUCAAUAUAUGUAUUUGAAUAAGAUUUGAGCAAUCUCAGGUACCACUGAUGAGAAAUCAGGACCAAACUUAAAGUGUGGGAGUCUGAUGAUGUGUUUAAGACAAAUUAGUUGGGCAUUGCAUAGUGUUGUCUGUGGGCUGUGUAUCUAUUCUGCUGACAGAGGAGAGACACUACCUGCAUACCUUCCUGACCCACAGUGCUGAAUAAUCCCAGAUGCAUGUCCUGAUGGGUUAGCUGACCAGCAUGAAUCAGCCUUAUCCUUUAUCUAUAAAGGCACAGGUAUGGGAGGCAGAUAGAUAAAUAUUGGCUUUGUAUUAAUGAGGUGGGGAAGACCUUAAUUUCCAUACAGGUUCUGGAUCUUCCUUACUGUCCUGCUUAAGUUUGACGAUAUUUAAAUUCACUGUAACACUUUGUCUUUUUCAGUAUAAUGGUUAAAAAAUAGGUAUCUCUACAGGAAACAGUAAUUUUAUUAUGAAAAUGCAUUGAGCUAUGUGGGAUUUCCUGUCCUUUUCCUGUGACAUCUUAGUAUUGCUGAUGGUGACAGAUCUUUGGCUGGGAUCACUGUGUAGAUGCACUGAAUUCAGUUGGUACCUGAGCAAGCUAGUGAGGUAUACCAGAGAUACUGAUAUCUAUGAAUGUGUGACUGUGGGAGGAGUGAUUUAAACUUAAGCUUUAAGGCUGAGAUACUUUGCAACAGAAGAGUUGUAUUUCCCUAAUUUUUUACCAGUGAAGAUCAAGAAUGGAUAUUCUUAUCUUGGGAAAACUCUCUGGCAGUGCUAAUGUUUGUCUCAAAACCUGUUUCCGGUGGUGGCUGCAGUAGACGUCUGUCAAAGAUUCCCAAAUACUGAGGCAAAGAUAAAAAGUCAGAACAAGCUCAGUAUAACCUCUGAGAAACAAGAACCAAAAAGCUGCUAGAACUCAGAAUUCUAAGAAGUCCUUGCCUUUUCCUUUUGAAGAAAAUGCCUUCCCCAUCCCAGAACUGUAAUUUAAUUCCUUAAUUUACAUGGCUUUUAAAAUAAACUUUUUCUUCCAAAAGACCCACAAAGAAUACUGUAUGUAAAUACACGAUGAAAACUUUCUAGUCAGUGUCCGUCUUCCUCUGGUUAUUAGUAACACAUCUUUCAAACUCUGAAGGACUGAGCAGCACUGAAUUUAUUUUUAAUUACAUAGUAAUGUGUUCAUCACAGAGGUCCUACUUAACAGAAGGAAUUGACUCUGGAGUGGUUCCUUAAGGAAACAGUAUCCUCGCCAAUAGAGAGCUUGAAAUCUGGGGAAGAGCAGAGUUUGGAAGAACAGACAUGGUCUAAGCUGUAUGGGGCCCCUUGUCACUGUGUUAAUAUGUGAUACACAGAAGAGAAAAUUGAAGUUAAUUCUUGCGUUCCAUGAAAUAAACUUAGAAACUUACAGAUUGGAGGUGGGGAAAUUUCCCCUUUAGGUGCGUCUUCUUAGUAAGUGUUACAUGAAGAUGAUGCCUCCCUCUUCAAACACUGCAGAUGUAGUAAUCUGUAUUUGCUCAAAACCAGACUUCAACUUGCUUUCGGAUCCUGAAAAAGUCUUAUGUCAAAGGACCCUUCCCACUGGCACUAGUACUAGAGGCAUAAGAAUGUGAUAGGCUUCUUCAGCUGGAAGAAAUCUUGCCUUCUGGGAUGUCUCAAAUAGGAGAAGCAGAUUUGGGCAUGGAAAUUAUAACUGGCUGAUGGGUGUAGCCACACACCUUAUAUGUGUUGAAAUUAAUUAUGUGACGGGAAUCUUCACCUGAAUUUCAGUGUUCAGGGAAGUGAUUUGCAGACUUGCUAGGAUUCCCACUUUCGGAUUCCUGUAAAGUACUUAUAUUAAAGAACCUAAUUUGAUUUCCAGAGUUCUCUCUCACAUUUUCCAGCAUCAUGCCUUCCUCACACUUGACUUUGUGUAGGAAGAUAGCUUUUAGCUUGCUCUUUGGCUCCUCGUGUGAUAACUGGAAAAAGAUAGGAGAAGUUGCCAAGUGUUCCUUUAAUACCUGAACUAGGAAUCCUGUCCUGCUAUGAAGGGUGGGUUAAAUUAAAGACUGCAAGGGCAUCAGAAGAGGUAGCAGUGGGACUGAAGGUCUCAAAAAAGUCUGUGCAUUAGUGAGAGGCAGAUAAUCUCCAGUCUGAUCUUUCCACGUAGAAGGAGGAAUGCUGCUAUUGGUACAUGAUAUCCCCAAGAAUACAUGGGGCAUGAGACUGAUGAUGACAUUCUUAUUAUGUAUUUACUGAACCUGGAAGCCACAGCUGAGAUCAAAGACGAAAUCAGACUUGUGUUCCAACGGUAAAAACAAGCACAAGAAUGGAAAAUGAAUCCCACACAUGGCUCUCACCAUUCAAGAACAGGGUUCUUGGCCCUCACCUCCAGCAUUCUUCCUCUAGAACUAUUGACUUGCAACGAGAUAUUGAUUCACCUACGGUUGUAUAUACACACACGUUUAUCAGGAGUUAUUUUUUGAGAAUUUGAGGAUUGUCUAGAUUCCAAAUUUGGAAGCUUCCAAUUUUCCAACUUGGAAGUUUAUUUCUGUACAGUAUUUGAUCCAUUGGCGGGGGAAGGUGGGGAGUGUUAAAUAAUGCUAUAUGUUGUUCUCUCACUUCCCUUCAUUUAAUUUCAUUUUGUCUAAUACAUUAAGACUUUCCUGUUCCUAUGUGAUACAAAACAGUUUGAUGUAGAAGUGCUCAAACUGCCUCACAUCAAGCUAUCCUGGAUGGUAUAUCUUGUUGAGCUUCACUGCUGUUGAGCAUUCCACCUAGCUUGUUUGGACUUCAUGAGAAAUGGGAUCUGUUUGCUGCAGAAGAGAAUCACAUUAAUGGUUUAUGCUGAUGUCUGGGUUACUUCUUCAGGUCCAGCUUAUUAGCUAGUGUUGUGCCCUGCAGAACUCAGCUUCCAUCCUUGGAAGAAACUGAGAUGGCAGAAUGCAUCCUGUACCACACCAGUCUAAAAAUAAGCCACCAGAACAACAGGCAACAGAACAAUUUCUGCAAGAUGUUUGUGUCCUAAGCUCUUGGCUAACUUCUUUCCUAAGUUGCCACAUCCCCAGCCUGUCUGAAUCCCAUCUACAGCUUCAAGAGUUUCCAUCUCAUCUUGUGCACAGACCAUGAAUAACUGCCUUGUUAUGUAUAUGCACGAUGGAAGGGUGGGGUGGAAAAAACUCUGGUAGGAGCCUGUCUUGAGCUUGCAGUA